AUAAAAAGGGAUUCUAAAAAGGAGUAAGAGGAAGGCCAAGGAAAGUGUAGGUCCCUUACUAAAUACAGAAGGCAACCUAGUUAUGAAUGAUGCAAAAAAGGCUGAGGUUUUAUAAUGC